GAUGAACGCUGGCGGCGUGCCUAAUACAUGCAAGUCGAACGCAUUGAGAGAAGUGCUUGCACUUUUCAAUUUGAGUGGCGAACGGGUGAGUAACACGUGGGCAACCUACCUGAUAGCGGGGGAUAACGAGUGGAAACAUUCGCUAAUACCGCAUAACAAUAGAGAAGGCAUCUUCUUUAUUUAAAAGGCGCUUUCAAGCGUCACUAUCAGAUGGGCCCGCGGUGCAUUAGUUAGUUGGUGGGGUGAAGGCCUACCAAGACGAUGAUGCAUAGCAGAGUUGAGGGACUGAUCGGCCACAUUGGGACUGAGACACGGCCCAAACUCCUACGGGAGGCUGCAGUAGGGAAUCUUCCACAAUGGACGAAAGUCUGAUGGAGCAACGCCGCGUGUGGGAUGAAGGCUUUCGGGUCGUAAAGCACUGUUGUAUGGGAAGAAAUGCUAGGCUAGGAAAUGAGCUUAGUUUGACGGUACCAUACCAGAAAGGGACGGCUAAAUACGUGCCAGCCGCCGCCGUAA
rnacentral:rRNA from 1 species